UCAGACGAUGCGUCAUGCAUAUCAAUAAGCGGAGGAAAAGAAACUAACAUGGAUUCCCUUAGUAACGGCGAGUGAAGCGGGAAGAGCUCAAAUUUGAAAUCUUCAAGGUUUUACCUUGACGAAUUGUAGUUUAAAGAAGUGUUUUCUGUUGAAGUUUUGGUAAAAGUUCUUUGGAAUAGGACAUCAUAGAGGGUGAGAAUCCCGUAUUUGACCAUUAUCUCCAGCUUUGUGAUACACUUUCAAAGAGUCGGAUUGUUUGGGAAUGCAGUCCAAAAUGGGUGGUAAAUUUCAUCUAAAGCUAAAUACUGGCGAGAGACCGAUAGCGAACAAGUACCGUGAGGGAAAGAUGAAAAGAACUUUGAAAAGAGAGUUAAACAGUACGUGAAAUUGUCAAAAGGGAAGCGUUUGACACCAGUGUUGUUUUCUCGAAAAUCAAUUAAAAAGAGUUGGAUUUUGUGUUGUAUUGACCUUAACAGCUUGCUUCACUCUUUUCCUGCUUUUUUUAAUGCACUUUUCGUUUAACAAGUCAACAUCAGUUUCUUUUGUUGUAAAAGGGUCAUUGGAAGGUGGCUUUCUCUUCGGAGAAAGUGUUUAUAGCCUUUGAUCUCUGCAAUCGGAGAGACUGAGGUCUGCAGCGUAGAUCCUUCGGGGUUAGAUACAUUUGUGCUAGGCUACAGCUUUUCAUAGACAACUUGUUGACUAUGUUUAGUCUUGUAACUUACCCGCUUAUGCUAUUUUACCUACGCUUAGGAUGUUGAUAUGCAUGACUGAUAU
rnacentral:rRNA from 1 species